AUCGUACUUCGACAUUUGAGGUAGGGGUGUCGCUUUAAAGGAGAGGAGCCAGUAGUAAAAAUCAAUAGCCGUGUAGGAACUGCCAGCAUCGCUAACGUCAAGCUGCAGUUCCGGGCGGUUGCUAGAGAGGAAAGGAACUGUAAUAGGUGUUGACUGAAAUCCCUUGUCUGGGUAAUAUAUUUUUAUCAGCUGCAACGCUUGAAGGACCAUCAGCAUGUAGAUAAGUUAAUGAAGAUCACCUCGAACAAAUACGGAGUGGGAAUUGAAGAACCUGAGUAAACCGAAACAUAUGAUGGGAGUUUAGUGCAGACAAGGAGAAUCGUUAUCUGGCAGGAUGCACUGCCAAAUGCCUGAAGAGGAUAUCAGCAUAAUUUUCCAAGAUGAAAACAGGUUAAAAACAGAAGAAUCUGGUAGAGAGAAGUUUAUGAUGGGACUUUGUGCAGACAUGACAGACGUUUUUUUUUUCUUUGGGAAGCGGGGCAGAAACUUCACGGAGCGUACUGCACACAAUUCAGAGACUCACAGAAAAUGUAACAUAAGUGCCAUAAAUAAAUAAAUAUAAGCAUUAGACUGAAUAAAUUUUUCAAACAGA